GACCAAGAAAUUAAGUCAUAUUUAUUCGGUAAAAAGACAGUUAGAUUAAAUAAAAUUAGAAUCUGAUUAUUUAUAAAGAAGUAAAAUUCGAAUAUAAAUAUAUAUUUCAAAUAAAACUAAAAAAUUGAAUCUGUGAUAGCUUUAGGGGAAACUGGGAUUUGAUACCCCAUUAUUUUUAGCCGUAAACAAAUCGAAUUUAGUAUAUUUACCAGAGUACUACGAAUCCAAGAAUUUAAAACUCAAAGAGCUUGGCGGUGCUUUAGACCACUUAGGGGAACCUGUCUCAUAAUCGACAAUCCACGUUAAACCUUACCUCUUUUUGCAGACAAUUUGUAUACCGUCGUCGUCAGGUGACUCCUAAAGAAAUUGAAGUCAGCAAGGCAAUUAUUAAAUUAAAACGUCAGAUCAGGGUGCAAUUUAUAAAGAGGAGAAGAUGGGUUACAAUUAGAAAUUUCUAAUUACGAAAAAUCAUUUGAAUUAGUGUUUUAGAAGGAGGACUUAAAAGUAAUUUUGAUUAUAUAAAAAUUUUGAAUUAGGCUCUGAAGCGUGU
rnacentral:rRNA from 1 species